rnacentral:rRNA from 1 species
CCUUGGGGGAAAGGAAGCUUCGGCCUCCGCAUCGGGAUGGGCCCGCGGCGCAUUAGCUUGUUGGUGGGGUAAUGGCUUACCAAGGGCGACGAUGCGUAGCUGGUCUGAGAGGACGAUCAGCCACACUGGGACUGAGACACGGCCCAGACUCCUACGGGAGGCAGCAGUGGGGAAUCUUGCACAAUGCGCGAAAGCGUGAUGCAGCAACGCCGCGUGCGGGAAGAAGGCCUUAGGGUUGUAAACCGCUUUCAGUUGGGACGAAGCUUCAGUGGUGAAUAGCCGUUUGGAGUGACGGUACCUUCAGAAGAAGCGCCGGCUAACUACGUGCCAGCAGCCGCGGUAAUACGUAGGGCGCGAGCGUUGUCCGGAAUCAUUGGGCGUAAAGCGCGUGUAGGCGGCUGAGUAAGUCUGCUGUGAAAGUCCAGGGCUCAACCCUGGAAUGUCGGCGGAUACUGCUCAGCUGGAGUACGGGAGGGGCGAGUGGAAUUCCUGGUGUAGCGGUGGAAUGCGCAGAUAUCAGGAGGAACACCUAUGGCGAAGGCAGCUCGCUGGAACGUUACUGACGCUGAGACGCGAAAGCGUGGGGAGCAAACAGGAUUAGAUACCCAGGUAGUCCACGCUGUAAACGAUGGAUACUAGGUGUGGGGGGUGUCAACUCCCUCCGUGCCGAAGCUAACGCAUUAAGUAUCCCGCCUGGGGA